rnacentral:piRNA from 1 species
CAGUGCUCACUCUGUUUCCUAGC